GUGAGGAAUAUUGGUCAAUGGACGGAAGUCUGAACCAGCCAAGUAGCGUGCAGGAUGACGGCCCUAUGGGUUGUAAACUGCUUUUAUGCGGGGGUAAAGUGAGUGACGUGUCAUUCAUUGCAAGUACCGCAAGAAUAAGGACCGGCUAAUUCCGUGCCAGCAGCCGCGGUAAUACGGAAGGUCCUGGUGUUAUCCGGAUUUAUUGGGUUUAAAGGGAGCGUAGGCCGUCAGGCAAGCGUGUUGUGAAAUGUCGUGGCUCAACCAUGGACUUGCAGCGCGAACUGCCCGACUUGAGUGCGCGGAAAGCAGGCGGAAUUUGUGGUGUAGCGGUGAAAUGCUUAGAUAUCACGAAGAACCCCGAUUGCGAAGGCAGCCUGCUGUAGCGCUACUGACGCUGAAGCUCGAAAGUGCGGGUAUCGAACAGGAUUAGAUACCCUUGUAGUCC
rnacentral:rRNA from 1 species